AUCAUUAAAUAAUUCCAUAUUUAGACCUCGAACCCCCAGAGAAUCGUAAUUAUCAUUUGCUAAUGGUUGAACGGCCGGUGAGCCAAUGGAUAAAGGGGGUAAAUGAGCUCUUAAUUUCGAAUUAAAUGGCUUAGGAGUGGACGAACAGGAGGAAAUUUUAGGAGUAGAACUAGCGGAUUCAAGACUAGGUUUAUGCAAAAUAGAGGGAGAAAUCGAUUUCGGAG